ACCGGCUAAAUUACCGCAUACUUCCUACGGGAGAAAGCACCGGGACCUUCGGGCCUUGCGCUAUCAGAUGAGCCUAGGUCGGAUUAGCUUGUUGGUGAGGUAAUGGCUCACCAAGGCGACGAUCCGUAACUGGUCUGAGAGGAUGAUCAGUCACACUGGAACUGAGACACGGUCCAGACUCCUACGGGAGGCAGCAGUGGGGAAUAUUGGACAAUGGGCGAAAGCCUGAUCCAGCCAUGCCGCGUGUGUGAAGAAGGUCUUCGGAUUGUAAAGCACUUUAAGUUGGGAGGAAGGGUUGUAGAUUAAUACUCUGCAAUUUUGACGUUACCGACAGAAUAAGCACCGGCUAACUCUGUGCCAGCAGCCGCGGUAAUACAGAGGGGUGCAAGCGUUAAUCGGAAUUACUGGGCGUAAAAGCGCGCCGUAGGUGGUUUGUUAAGUUGGAUGUGAAAAGCCCCGGGGCUCCACCCUGGGGAACUGCCUUCCAAAACUGGCAAGCUUAAAGUACGGAAGAGGGUGGGUGGAAAUUUCCCUGUGGAAGGGUGAAAAUGGCGUAAAAUAUUGGAAGGAAACACCAAUGGCGAAGGGCGACCC
rnacentral:rRNA from 1 species